rnacentral:rRNA from 1 species
GACGAACGCUGGCGGCGUGCUUAACACAUGCAAGUCGAGCGGUAAGGCCCUUUCGGGGGUACACGAGCGGCGAACGGGUGAGUAACACGUGGGUGACCUGCCCUCAGCUCUGGGAUAAGCCCUGGGAAACCGGGUCUAAUACUGGAUAUGACUCCAUGACGCAUGUUGUGGGGUGAAAGCCUUGUGCGGCUGAGGAUGGGCCCGCGGCCUAUCAGCUUGUUGGUGGGGUGANGGCCUACCAAGGCGACGACGGGUAGCCGGCCUGAGAGGGCGACCGGCCACACUGGGACUGAGACACGGCCCAGACUCCUACGGGAGGCAGCAGUGGGGAAUCUUGCGCAAUGGGCGAAAGCCUGACGCAGCGACGCCGCGUGAGGGAUGACGGCCU